UACGAAGGGGGCGAGCGUUGUUCGGAUUUACUGGGCGUAAAGCGUGCGUAGGUGGUCUGUUAAGUCUGAUGUGAAAGCCCUGGGCUCAACCUGGGAAUUGCAUUGGAUACUGGCAGGCUAGAGUGCGGUAGAGGAUGGCGGAAUUCCCGGUGUAGCAGUGAAAUGCGUAGAUAUCGGGAGGAACACCUGUGGCGAAAGCGGCUCACUGGACCAUUACUGACGCUGAGGCGCGAAAGCUAGGGGAGCAAACAGG
rnacentral:rRNA from 1 species